AUUGAACGCUGGCGGCAGGCUUAACACAUGCAAGUCGAGCGGAGAGAGGUAGCUUGCUACUGAUCUUAGCGGCGGACGGGUGAGUAAUGCUUAGGAAUCUGCCUAUUAGUGGGGGACAACAUUUCGAAAGGAAUGCUAAUACCGCAUACGUCCUACGGGAGAAAGCAGGGGAUCUUCGGACCUUGCGCUAAUAGAUGAGCCUAAGUCGGAUUAGCUAGUUGGUGGGGUAAAGGCCUACCAAGGCGACGAUCUGUAGCGGGUCUGAGAGGAUGAUCGGCGACACUGCUACUGAAACACGGCCCCGACUCCUACGGGGGGCAGCAGUGGGGAAUAUUGGACAAUGGGCGGAAGCCUGAUCCAGCCAUGCCGCGUGUGUGAAGGAGGUCUUAUGGUUGUAAAGCACUUUAAGCGAGGAGGAGGCUACUUUAGUUAAUACCUAGAGAUAGUGGACGUUACUCGCAGAAUAGGCACCGGCUAACUCUGUGCCAGCCGCCGCAGUAAUAC
rnacentral:rRNA from 1 species